UUUAUACUCCCUCCGUCCCAAAAAGCUUGUUCCUCAAAUGGAUGUAUCUAGCACCAAGUUAGUGCUAGAUACAUCAAUUUGAGGGACAAAUUUUUCCGGACGGAGGGAGUAUUCA
rnacentral:pre_miRNA from 1 species